CCUUCAGCUUUUCCAAGUCCUGAGUCAGACACGUGUGCAACUCUGGGGUGAAAGACACCAGCUUCUUCUGCAGAUUACCUGUAUCAUUUGGGUUUGAAGCAUAUUCUGAUGUGUCUUUGUGAAUACCAGUUUAUUCUCAAGGAUUUUAGGUUGUCUUUUCUUUUCUUUUUUUUUUUUUUCUAUUUCGUUUAGAGCUUUUCUUCCUGAUGGCUUAUCUACCGAUCAAAGCAACUUCUACCUCACCAGCAGAUACAGAGGCAACUUCUUCCAUAGAUUUCUUCACCAGUUUUCCUUAGCUGUCUCCUUGGAACAUUUGAAAUCCUCUGGUUCUUUGGCACCCAAAUAUGAAGGUCAUUUCAUCAAAGGCCUAAAAUUUUCAUAGAGAGGAUUUGAGAAAGGUGAUCUCAAUAAAAUACAAAAAAAAAAAGGAAGAAAAGCUACAGUAAAAGAAAUAUUGCUACUUAUAUAUGCAAACGAAGACUGAGGACAACUAUUAUCAGCUUUCUACUCUUAAGAAUUAUUUAAGUUGCUACUCCUACUUCUACAUUUGGACAUUGGUUUACCAUGCCAUUUUUCCUUAUAUAUAUUUAAAAAAUCUCUUAAAAAUUAAAAUGGUAGUAUGCAUGUUUUCAGGCCAAAUAUAUAUUUCCAAACUGUUCUAAAUUUGUUACUACUGUGUUUUUACUCCUGAGUAAUCAAUAACAUUGAGUAAUAAAGACAGAAUUAUUUAUGUAUAAAUAAAAAUUCUCAUGAGAAUUUUUGUCUAUUUUUCCUUUUCUGAGUUGAAAAGCAGCCAUUUUCAACAUAGCUAAUUGUUGCUACAGUAUCAUUUUAAAUUAAUGUGGUACAGUGUAUGCUGAAAUAGCAGUGGAAAAAUAUUUAAGUUUUAACAAUGCUCUACUCAGGUAAAUAUCCCUGCAGGAAUCAAAAUUAAUAAAUAUUAUCUUCAGUAUACAUAAUACAAUAUAAUAUCUUUAAUAGGAGUUGCCAUUUUACUGAAUAUCUUCCAUUUGAUGUUUGUGAAAAGUUUGUUCAUUGACAUAGCUCAAUAAUAUUCCAUUUUACAAAUAUACCACAAUUAAUUAACCUAUCCUUCUGUAGAUAGACAUAUGGGUUUCUUUCCUUAUUAUACAUCAUAUUAAACUUUUAUAUUAUGAACAGUUCAUUGAAUCUAUUGAUCCAUUUGUGGAGAAUUUAUAUCUUUAUGAUAUUGAUUUUUCUUCCUAGAGGUAUAAUAUGCCUUUCCAUUUAUUUGAAUCAUUUUUAAUGUUUUAAAAUUUAGAUACAUUUAAUUAAUGUGUGUGUAUCUGUAUGUAAGCUUACUGCAAUGCUAAACAGGUAAAUAUUCAGAACACUCUGUAAAAAAAAAAAAAAGUUGAACUUCCACCUUAAUUACUGACUUUUUUUUAAUUAAUUGUAAGCAGAAAUGGGAUACUGUUUUCUCUGCCACAUUUCUGUCACCUGUGGUCAUAAUCCCUCGAGCUGUAUAAGGGAAGUUGUCUGUUCAAAUCAUGCAGUGUUCUUAUGUCACAAACCAAAACCUGAGUCUAUUAUGCUGAGCUAAUCUGCUUUGACCUGGGUAAUUUCCAUCCUGGGUUGAUCUGAUCUGCCAGGAGGUUUGGCCGUCAGAUUUUGGUGACUUCUGCUCCUCAGAGAAUUCUCAGAAUCCCAAAUUGCACCCCAUCUCACUAAGAGUGUGGAGAGGAAAAGACAGAAGGAUAGAAAAAGAGAAGGAGGAGGAAAAGGAAGUAUCUAUCUACAUGUUUAUAUCUAUACCUUUAUUUAUACUCACAGUAAAGGACAUUUGUCAGAAUAGCCCCCAAACACUAUUGCCGCACCAACAUCUAUUAAAAUAUAAACCAUCUUUAAUAAAUACUGAGCUGUGUAAAUAUUUAUUUGCAUGCAAAAGAAAAGCUCUUUAGUAUUCUUAAGCCAGACUGAGCAGUCAACAGAUGAUUUUGAUAAAUGUCUGUUCAUUACCUGAACAUUUCCAUUGCAAUAUAAAACAAAGAUUUCAUCUACAUUUUAUUUUUGCUCCAUGAAUGGUUCCACACUUUCUAAUCAGUGUUAUUUUUAAGAUUAAAUUUGGAUAGUAAUGUAAAUAUGGGAGGGGAAUGGGUGUCUAAGAGGAUUUUCUGGUUCAUAGUCAUUAUAAUAGUCACAAUAUACAAGAUAAUUUGUAAGUCUAGGCCCCCUUUUGCUCAGGCAGUCUAAUUCUUUAUGUCCAAGAAUUUUGUCAAAGUAAUGUUCUUCAUGCUAAUAAAUAUAAUAAAAACAUACCCUUUUCUGGUAGUUGUCUUCUUUUAAUAUUAAUAUGUCAUUUUUCUUCAUGAUUCUAAAAACAAAUAUGAACUGCUUUGUAAAUAUUGGUCAAUGAAUACUUCAUGACACUCCCUUUUGAAAGGUGUAUGACUUGACAGCCGCUAUUUAGACAUUUCAUUUAUGUCAUGGGUUUUGUUUUCUAUUUUUGCUGUUGCUGUUGUUUUAAAUCAGGGCUUGAUAUUGAUGGGGCAAGAUUAGGAAGUAAAGAACCACAUAGUUCUCUCUCCUUCAUCUCUUCCUGUGUUAAUAAAUGGUUCCAUGAUCUAAUAAAAGAGCAAACACAGGAAACAAUAAGGGGAAUCAAAAAGUGAAAAUAAAACAAACAAAUCUAGAAACAAGCAAACUUUAUCUUGAGUUUUGUGGACUUCCUGCAGAGAUUUCUCAAUUCCUGUUUCUACUCCAAAUGCAUUCAUGUGACUAGCAUGCUCAGUGAAUUGGGCAUCUUUUGCUCUUUAAAAUUACUUAUUUAAGAAAAAUUUAUGUAUACUCUGAUCCUCUUAACUCUGUUGCAUUUGCAGGUUCAGUAUGGCCUCUGCUGCUGAAAAGGCUGUGUGCAAUGUAAAAAGUGUGUUUAAUUCAACCUUUUAUUAAUUCAUCUAUAAUUUUGAAAUUCAGUUUUUUAUUUUAUUGACUAGUUAACAUCUGCCAAUCACCAUUAAACAUCGUACAAGUAUUAUUUUCUUCACUCUUUACAGAAACCUCAUUCUCAAUUUACAUGUUAUAAGUGACAUAGCUAAGGUGUAGAGAAGGUGUAUGCAUGCAAAAAUUCACACAAUUCAUAUCAGACGGAGCUAGGACAUAAAUUCUAGUUCCUUCAAACUUCUUAACAUACUGCCACCACAAAUUAAGUAUCUUAUUGGUAAUUUAUAAGGAACAGAAACUUAUUAACUUAACAGUUCUGGAGGCUGGAAAGUCCAAGGUCAAGGUAUCCCUAGGUUAGGGCCCAGUUUCUCUUUUCUCUGAUUCCAAGAUGGUGCCUUGCAUGUGGCAUCCUCUGGAGGGCAGGGGAAUGCUGGAUUCUCACAUGGCAGGAAGGCAGAGGGUCAAGAGAGAAAAACCAACCUGAAAAGUCCUUUUAUUAAUGCACUAAAUCCACUCAUGAGGGUGAAGUGCUUGUAGUCUAAUCACAUCUUAAAGACCUCACAUCUUAAUGUAGUUGCAAUGGCAAUUAAAUCUCAACAUGAACUUGGGAGGAGGCAUUCAAACUACAGCAAUCUGGCCUGACCACCCAAAACUUACAUCUUUCUCAAAUACAAAAUACAUUUAUUCCAUCCCAUUAGCCUCUAACGUCUUACAUUGUUCUGGCAUCAACUAAUAAGUCCGAAGUCCAGAGUCCUAUCUAAAUUAGAUAUCGGUGAGACUCAAAGCAUAAUUCACCCUGAGGGAAAUUCUCUCCAGUUAUGAGC
rnacentral:lncRNA from 1 species